UGCCCCGCCCCCUCCAAUCAAGGCGCAGAAGCAGUUCCAAUAGUUUCCAAACCCGGAAGACGGUCAGCCAAUCAGAGGGCCGCUGUGGUUCCAAUAUCGAGAAUCAGACUUUGUGGUGACUUCUGUCAUCCAAUCAGAGGCCGGAUUUGUUCCAAUAUUCCUCCAGGACCCUCCCCUGUCACUGGAACCUGCUGAACGGUGCGGACGGAGCUCCCAGGGGCACAUGGGAAGUUCUGUGUGACGAGUCUUUACAUCAGGACGAGAGGAAACAACCUGGUCAGGUCAGUGUUGGUUCCACCACCUCCACCAGAGGUGCUGUCACACUCACAUCCUCAACUACCUCCAUUUCUGCUGCUGCUUUGUCCAGUGUGGGCUAAAGAAGAUCAAGGAGACAGACACAGAGAC